UCCCUGGAGAGGGCUGAGGAGGAGGUUACUGUCUGGCCACCUUUUCCGGUUUGGUACCUGCGGUUCAAUCCCAGGUUCUGCCUCUUUAGUCUCCCCACAUCUCCGCCUGGCACCUUAGCUUAAAACCGGGAUAUAAAUGGCCAGGUAGAGAAGUGCAUGAAGUUAGGCAGCUCCACUCUGGUCCUUUUCAACCCAAGCCAUGAAAAUACGCCACUGUGCACCCUAACAGAUAUGAUAGUGUAGACAUACCUGUUGUCUCCAUAUCAUAGUGUGGCAAGCAAAUGACACAGGAUGGCUGAGAGUAGAAGAGACCUCUGGAGGUCAUCUAGUUUUACUCAAGCAGGAAACUUAGAGGUGUUUGACCAUGGCCAUUUAUUUUGAACAUCUCCAAUGGAGAUUCUACAUCCUCUCUGGGCAGCCUGUGGCAAUGGUUGGUCACCCUCUGAGAGAAAAAGCAUUCAAUCAUGCUCAGACAGCACUUUCUGCCUUUCAGCUUGUGCCCAUUGCUUCUUGUCUUGUCCCUGGACACAACUGAGAAGAGCAUGGCUCCAUCUUUUUUGCAGCCUCCCUUCAGGAAACAGAGGAGAGAUUUUCCUGAGUAACAUGAUUCCUCUUAACCCCUCCUCUGGAGAUCUGCUUCAGGUGAAAGAUACCAUGUGUUGCAUCCAGAAGCUGGUGCUCAGGAUGAGAAAACAAAAAGCACUGGUAGGGGAAAAGGUGGAAAGCCUUAGGAGGAGAGGCCCAGAAUGUAUCUAUCUUGAUGUUACGAAGAUGACUGGUAGAGAUUGCUACUCUAGUCCCUGUGUGAUGUGGCAUCCAUUGUUCACUACUCACCAGCAUGUGCAGUGCUUCCUCUGAGCUUGAACGGAAAUACAGCCCUGACUCCCCAGAUCUUGAGAUCUCGGUAGAGAGUACAAAUGCCUCAUAGCUUUCUGUCCG